rfam:Colletotrichum higginsianum, IMI 349063, WGS project CACQ02000000 data, contig: cont1.3440
ACCUGAUGAGUACAUUAGAUGACGAGUCUGAUUUGGAUCUUCCAAUGCGGAUAACCCUUUAUAUACCAUUCAUGCAACGACUGAAC